rnacentral:misc_RNA from 1 species
GAUGAAGAACGGAGCGAAAUGCGAUAAGUAAUGUGAAUUGCAGAAUUCAGUGAAUCAUCGAAUCUUUGAACGCACAUUGCGCCCGCCAGUAUUCUGGCGGGCAUGCCUGUUCGAGCGUCAUUACAACCCUCAGGCCCCCGGGCCUGGCGUUGGGGAUCGGCGGAAGCCCCCUGCGGGCACAACGCCGUCCCCCAAAUACAGUGGCGGUCCCGCCGCAGCUUCCAUUGCGUAGUAGCUAACACCUCGCAACUGGAGAGCGGCGCGGCCACGCCGUAAAACACCCAACUUCUGAAUGUUGACCUCGAAUCAGGUAGGAAUACCCGCUGAACUUAAGCAUAUCAAUAAGCGGAGGA